GGGCCUGUAGCUCAGCGGUAGAGCAGGGGACUCAUAAUCCCUUGGUCGUGGGUUCGAACCCCUCCGGGCCCA
rnacentral:tRNA from 2 species